AUUGAACGCUGGCGGCAGGCCUAACACAUGCAAGUAGAACGAGUGGCGGACGGGUGAGUAAUGUCUGGGAAACUGCCUGAUGGAGGGGGAUCACUACUGGAAACGGAAGCUAAUACCGCAUACCAUCGGAUGUGCCCAGAUGGGAUUAGCUAGUAGGGGGGGUAAAGGCUCACCUAGGCGACGAUACCUAGCUGGUCUGAGAGGAUGACAAGCAAAAUGGGAGCUGAGACACGGUCCAGACUCCUACGGGAGGCAUCAGUGGGGAAUAUUGCACAAUGGGCGCAAGCCUGAUGCAGCCAUGCCGCGUAUAUGAAGAAGGCAUUCGGGUUGUAAAGUACGUUCAGCGGGGAGGCGUUACCCGCAGAAGAAGCACCGGCUAACGCCGUGCCAGCAGCCGCGGUAAUUC
rnacentral:rRNA from 1 species